GAUCAUGGCUCAGGAUGAACGCUAGCUACAGGCUUAACACAUGCAAGUCGAGGGGCAGCAUGGUCUUAGCUUGCUAAGGCCGAUGGCGACCGGCGCACGGGUGAGUAACACGUAUCCAACCUGCCGUCUACUCUUGGACAGCCUUCUGAAAGGAAGAUUAAUACAAGAUGGCAUCAUGAGUUCGCAUGUUCACAUGAUUAAAGGUAAUUCCGGUAGACGACGUGG
rnacentral:rRNA from 1 species